AAGAAAGUUAAUUCUAACAUCACCAAUACCAAAGUUUCUAAUGCACUCCUAGUUAAGGAAGAGAGCGUAGAAAACAAUGAAGCACCAAAUAAAGUGCAAAGUUCUUUGUUUGACAGUCCUGUGUCUGAUGACAAUGCAACCAUUUCUCCUCUAAACUUUCACCAGGAACUAGCAACUCCUCUCAAGGAUUCUCCUCUCACAGUAACUCCAGAGGAUUUUGAUAACUACAUUAGUUCACUUGAUGACAUUCUACAUUUGCCUAUUCACGGAAGCCCAAGCAUUAUCUCUGGCUCUUGCGGAGAAAAAGAAAUGACUGGAGCUCGAAAGAAACUUGUUAACCUCCUACGUAUUGGUUUUCCUGCUUUAUUUAACUCUGACAGACUUACUGAAGUUGCAGCCUUGUCUUUGGAGCUGCAGAAUGAACCUAACCUCAGUGAUAGAGAGCUUUCAAUGCUGAAGCUAGUCCAAGAAAUCCCACUAGCCAGCAAAGAUUUCCUA
rnacentral:misc_RNA from 1 species